rnacentral:rRNA from 1 species
GACGAACGCUGGCGGCGUGCUUAACACAUGCAAGUCGAACGAUGAAACCUAGCUUGCUAGGUCGAUUAGUGGCGAACGGGUGAGUAACACGUGACUAACCUGCCCCUUUCUCUGGGAUAACGCUCCGAAAGGAGUGCUAAUACCGGAUACUCACACCGAGGCACAUGCCUUGGUGUGGAAAGUUCUUCGGAAAGGGAUGGAGUCGCGGCCUAUCAGCUUGUUGGUGAGGUAACGGCUCACCAAGGCGACGACGGGUAGCCGGCCUGAGAGGGCGACCGGCCACACUGGGACGGAGACACGGCACAGACUCCUACGGGAGGCAGCAGUGGGGAAUAUUGCACAAUGGGCGCAAGCCUGAUGCAGCGACGCCGCGUGAGGGAUGAAGGUCUUCGGAUUGUAAACCUCUUUCAGUAGGGACGAAGCGAAAGUGACGGUACCUAAAGAAGAAGCACCGGCUAACUACGUGCCAGCCGCCGCGGUAA